CAUUGGGAUGAUGUUUCUCAUAUUUGGAUUAGUCUGGCUCCCUAUCCUCAAAGAAAAACAAAGAAAAAAGUCUAUGUCAAGGAUCUAAAACCUGCUGCAGAUUUUACCUUCUCUCUCCAUCACAAGGCAAUCAAUAUCUACCCACAGCAUCACCGCAUUGAAAUAGUGAGCAGAAAUUGAGAACUUACAACAUGAAAAACUGAAAUCAGGAGUCUACACCUUAUUGCCCUGGAACGAUGCUGGCAUUAAUUGGACAGCAUGAUUUCGGAUAAGUCAUCAUUCUGAUCUCAUCCAGAUAUCAUGGAGAAACCUAAGGCAGU